rnacentral:lncRNA from 1 species
AACAAAACAACAUGAAGAAAAUCGGGAAGGUAUUGAAGAUUUGCAGAGCUUGCAGAGCAUUAACCAGCAUCACAAACUCUUUCCCUAUACUCAUGCAUCCAAAUAUGAGGAAAUUCAAGGUUAAAAAGAAUAAAAGAACCAAACUAAUUUCUAGUGAACAUGAGAACAAGCUCAAAAAAAUUUUGAUAACAAAUUACCAUUUGGCAUAACCAAUACAGGGACCCCAAAUCUAUCGGUGCAAAGAGUGUA